GAAACAAUUUGAGCUCUGAUACCAAAUUGACGUAGAAUACAAUAGAAGAAUUGUAGGAGAAGGGGAAAGGAGAGAGAGGGGAAGAUUGAAAUUGGGGAGAGAGAUCUAUUUAUUUCAUAUUCAAAUUUUGUUCUAUUAUGAAGCAAAAGCCCCUUUAUAUAGAGUUUCAAAAGAUUCUAUUCUAAGUUGCAAAUAUUUAAUAAAAACUAUUAAAUAAAACAUGAUUAAGUUUCCUAACAUAAUCCGUAAAAUUGAAGACUAUAUUAAAUAAAAACUCUUAUAAUAUUGCAUCACUAUUAUUUUGGUGUAGAUAGUAAACUGGAGAACUCAUUUAAAAUUUCCGGAAGAGGUAAAGAUUUCGCCAGAAGCAAAAGAUCUUAUCUGCAAGCUCUUAUGUAAUGUAGAGCAGAGGCUUGGAACAAGAGGCGCUUCUGAAAUUAAGGCUCACCGGUGGUUCAAAGGCAAUGAAUGGGAUAAGUUGUAUCAAAUGAAAGCUGCAUUCAUUCCAGAAGUUAAUGAUGAGUUGGAUACUCAAAACUUUGAAAAGUUUGAAGAGUCUGAAAAUCAAGUCCCAAUGACAACAAAAUCAGGUCCCUGGAGGAAGGUUGGUACAUGAAUUUGCAUUUAACAUUCUUAGCUAUAAUUUAGGAUUCUCCAUGGUGCUCGUCCACUUGGAAAACCAUUUCUAAUGCAGUAAAGUGCACAUAUUGUUAUUCUGUCUAUCUUGGUAAUAUUUUUUGUUAUUGAUCAUAGUAUGAAUCAGGGGCGGAGCUAGUAUAUUUUGUUGAGGUGGGCUAAAUCAUAAUUUGGGCUGGGUUAAUAUAUGUAUUAAAA